rnacentral:rRNA from 1 species
AACCUUUACACUGCACGCCAGUGCGAUAAGGGGACUCCAAGUGCGAGGGCAUAUAGUCCUCGCUUUUCUGGACCGUAAGGAGGUCCAGGAACAAGGGCUGGGCAAGACCGGUGCCAGCCGCCGCGGUAAUACCGGCAGCCCAAGUGAUGGCCGCUCUUAUUGGGCCUAAAGCGUCCGUAGCUGGCCAGGCAAGCCCGUCGGGAAAUCCGCACGCCCAACGUGCGGGCGUCCGGUGGAAACUGCCUGGCUUGGGACCGGAAGACCUGAGGGGUACGUCCGGGGUAGGAGUGAAAUCCCGUAAUCCUGGACGGACCACCGGUGGCGAAAGCGCCUCAGGAAGACGGAUCCGACGGUGAGGGACGAAAGCUCGGGUCACGAACCGGAUUAGAUACCCGGGUAGUCCGAGCUGUAAACGAUGUCUGCUAGGUGUGACACAGGCUACGAGCCUGUGUUGUGCCGUAGGGAAGCCGUGAAGCAGACCGCCUGGGAAGUACGUCCGCAAGGAUGAAACUUAA